ACAUAGUGUGGAGGUGGCAGCAGCAUCAGGAGACCACAGAGUGACAUAGUGUGGAGGUGGGUGGCAAUUCCAGUAGCAGCUGAAAAUGGUGGAUGAAAGAAGGAGAUCUUGGCAUCAGAUGUGUGGCAUCAGGUGGGUGGCCGCAUCAGAACAGUAGCUGAGGCAGGUAGC